UACGUAGGGUGCAAGCGUUGUCCGGAAUUAUUGGGCGUAAAGAGCUCGUAGGCGGUCUGUCGCGUCUGCUGUGAAAACUCAGGGCUUAACCCCGGGCCUGCAGUGGGUACGGGCAGACUAGAGUGCGGUAGGGGAGACUGGAAUUCCUGGUGUAGCGGUGAAAUGCGCAGAUAUCAGGAGGAACACCGGUGGCGAAGGCGGGUCUCUGGGCCGUAACUGACGCUGAGGAGCGAAAGCGUGGGGAGCGAACAGG
rnacentral:rRNA from 1 species